UACGUAGGGUGCGAGCGUUGUCCGGAUUUAUUGGGCGUAAAGAGCUCGUAGGCGUCUCGUCGCGUCGCCCGUGAAAACCCGCGGCUUAACUGCGGGCUUGCGGUUGAUACGGGCGGGCUAGAGUUCGGUAGGGGAGACUGGAAUUCCUGGUGUAGCGGUGAAAUGCGCAGAUAUCAGGAGGAACACCGGUGGCGAAGGCGGGUCUCUGGGCCGAUACUGACGCUGAGGAGCGAAAGCGUGGGGAGCGAACAGG
rnacentral:rRNA from 1 species